rnacentral:misc_RNA from 1 species
GAUGAAGAACGCAGCGAAAUGCGAUAAGUAAUGUGAAUUGCAGAAUUCAAUGAAUCAUCGAAUCUUUGAACGCACAUUGCGCCCGGCAGUAAUCUGCCGGGCAUGCCUGUCCGAGCGUCAUUUCACCCCUCGAGCCGCUUUUAGUGGAUCGGUGUUGGGGCACUACGGUAAAACGUAGGCCCUGAAAUGAAGUGGCGGUCCCGCCGCGGUGCCCCCAUGCGUAGUAACGUUUAGUCUCGCAUCGGGUCCCGGCGGAGGCCUGCCGUCAAGCCUAUUUAUUCUCAGAAUAGUUUGACCUCGGAUCAGGUAGGGUUACCCGCUGAACUUAAGCAUAUCAAUAAGCGGAGGA